AGGUCGGAUUAGCUAGUUGGUGGGGUAAAGGCCUACCAAGGCGACGAUCCGUAACUGGUCUGAGAGGAUGAUCAGUCACACUGGAACUGAGACACGGUCCAGACUCCUACGGGAGGCAGCAGUGGGGAAUAUUGGACAAUGGGCGAAAGCCUGAUCCAGCCAUGCCGCGUGUGUGAAGAAGGUCUUCGGAUUGUAAAGCACUUUAAGUUGGGAGGAAGGGCAGUAAGUUAAUACCUUGCUGUUUUGACGUUACCAACAGAAUAAGCACCGGCUAACUUCGUGCCAGCAGCCGCGGUAAUACGAAGGGUGCAAGCGUUAAUCGGAAUUACUGGGCGUAAAGCGCGCGUAGGUGGUUCAGCAAGUUGGAUGUGAAAUCCCCGGGCUCAACCUGGGAACUGCAUCCAAAACUACUGAGCUAGAGUACGGUAGAGGGUGGUGGAAUUUCCUGUGUAGCGGUGAAAUG
rnacentral:rRNA from 1 species